GUCUGCUGUCUGGGUGCCUACCUGCCACCUUUCCUCGCUCUAUGCCAUCUACGUACAGAUGCAGAAACUACAUUUGAGUGACCCAGGGCAGCUGGCUCUCCUGAUCUCAGAGCACUCCCUCAGUUGGACCAAUCCCGCGAAAAUGAAGGCAUGUGGAUUCACAGAAUUACCCAAGGGUCUGCCCACACACAAACCAGAGCAACUUUGGGGAAAACAGAGUCCAGUGCCCGAGGUUCCUGGGGUUGUACUGCCAUGCUUCCCAACUCAGCAGCAGGAACCAGCAGUGCAGAUGGCUUGAGUGACAUCAACUUGUGGAUUCUGAGCAACUUCUGGUGCCUCAUCUUCGUCUUUCAGCAGCUCUUGCAAAAUCUCAAGAACUGCUUGGUUAUUUCAGUGGCCUCUUAAAAGAAAAGAAUCUCAUUGGUUAUGUUUGUAGCUUGGCUCAUCAGAACAUAUUCAGUUAAAGGAAACCUUUCCAAAUAAAUGAUUUAGUCCUGUCUGAGAGCUGGGCCAAAGGCAUUUCCACAGACCUAGUGUUUCCCAUGUGAGCAGGGAAUUUUGUUUGUUCACCAGACUUCCAGAACCACUCACCAUCCACCUCUUCCGCUACCACACUGGUGCCAGAUGGAUGCUGUGGGCAGGACUUUGUCUCACUCAUUCUCCCACUCAUUUUGGAUCCAAGGCUCAUGAGGGAUCACAGGGAUAGUGUGUCACUUGUCCAUCCCUAGCUGCAAGGGAGGCUGAGAAAGUGAGUUUUAUGGAUCCUACCAUUAAGAGAUACUUACCAUGGAAGAAACUGCCCAAAUAUAGAAAAGUUUUCUAAAAUGCUACUGAGUUACAAGAGACAUGUGUCCCAUAUGUUCGAAGUGCAGGAGAUCCUGAGCCCCAAAGGGCUGAGCCAUUGGGCUGUUAGCAGAUGACACAAAGUGAACAUUUGACCUUAUAGGCCUGAAGGGUGGCCGAGGAUGGAAAUGUAGCUGAGUAAUGCCUGGUUAGUUCUGGUAUCCAGAAAUCUCUAUGUUCUUUUCCCAGUGAGCACAGAAAAGGAAGAGGCUUAAUGAGGGCUGCAGGAGCCAUGAUAGAGUGAUCAUUAUUGCUCUGCUUAGUUGACUGGCAAACUCUUAGCCUAAGAUUUAACACCCAACUU